UACGUAGGGUGCAAGCGUUAUCCGGAAUUAUUGGGCGUAAAGAGCUCGUAGGCGGUUUGUCGCGUCUGCUGUGAAAACUGGAGGCUCAACCUCCAGCCUGCAGUGGGUACGGGCAGACUAGAGUGCGGUAGGGGAGAUUGGAAUUCCGGGUGUAGCGGUGGAAUGCGUAGAGAUCCGGAAGAACACCGGUGGCGAAGGCGGGUCUCUGGGCAACAACUGACGCUGAGGAGCGAAAGCGUGGGGAGCGAACAGG
rnacentral:rRNA from 1 species